rnacentral:rRNA from 1 species
GAUGAACGCUGGCGGCGUGCCUAAUACAUGCAAGUCGAGCGAACGGGCGAGAAGCUUGCUUCUCUGAUGUUAGCGGCGGACGGGUGAGUAACACGCGGAUAACCUACCUAUAAGACUGGGAUAACUUCGGGAAACCGUAGCUAAUACCGGAUAAUAUUUUGAACCGCAUGGUUCAAAAGUGAAAGACGGUCUUGCUGUCACUUAUAGAUGGAUCCGCGCUGCAUUAGCUAGUUGGUAAGGUAACGGCUUACCAAGGCAACGAUGCAUAGCCGACCUGAGAGGGUGAUCGGCCACACUGGAACUGAGACACGGUCCAGACUCCUACGGGAGGCAGCAGUAGGGAAUCUUCCGCAAUGGGCGAAAGCCUGACGGAGCAACGCCGCGUGAGUGAUGAAGGUCUUCGGAUCGUAAAACUCUGUUAUUAGGGAAGAACAUAUGUGUAAGUAACUGUGCACAUCUUGACGGUACCUAAUCAGAAAGCCACGGCUAACUACGUG